CUUUUUACUGUGAUCUGAAAUGCGUAUGGACAGUAUAUGGGACGUGAAAUUUGUUCGUAGAUCUCUUCUGCAGAAUGCAUGAAGAUUGAAAAUUUGUCCUUUAUGAUCAUUUCAGUCAAGUUGUUUCAAAUAUUACCAGGCAGCUGAUUCAAGAUCGACAAAAUUGAUCAUGAAUUAUUGUUAAGUGAUUAAAAAAAAGCAUUUUAUUACUUGCUCAUCUGUUCCUGCAUUGCAGUUUUACAGGAUGCAGGAUCGUAUUAAAUUUCUGAUGCCCUCUUUGGGUGCACAUUAGUAACUGAAGCUUUUAGUUUUGGGUUCCCUCUCCUCUACAUGUUGAAGUUGUUACCAACCCUCCCCAGUUGUCUGAUCAUGAAUACUGUUCAUGAUCAGACAACUGGGGAUCACAUGCGGAAAUUUACACUUGUACUGUAAAUUUUUAAUGUACAGUUGCAUUGUGGGAUUUUUACCGGCUGUAGGUGAAUGUUCACAGGCUGGAGGGCGGGCCAACAAUGACUUUCACCGGGAAACGGCAUCAAGGGCACAAACGGGUCCAGCAGCUCCUUUUGCCACCUAGAGUAUUGUUUCAUAGGUGAUUCAUAGGCCUCAACCCAGAAAAUGGAACAAAAGCUGCAAACGGAAAAGUGACAUCAACCAACAGGACGACUUAUGUAGAACACAGCAGUGAACCUGCAUGUCUCCAUUCUCCUCCUUCAUGAACCAUGUAAUUUUACCAUUUUAAAAUGGUAAAAUUACACAUUUACACUCCAUCUCUCUCCCUGUCUGUCUUUUUCUCUGUCUGUCUCUCUGUAUCUGUUCUGUCCAUUUCUAAUAGACAGACAGGAGGACAGAACAAUGAAGGAAGGUCAGAGAGAGUCUUUCCUUUUCAUCCUGUCUGUCUUUAACUGAUAUGAAUGUAGUUUGGAAACUUUGACAUUUGGGUACUUUUGUUUUAGUAAAGAUUAUUUAAUUAAUUGUACUCAAUGUCAUAUUAUCAUGAUUGUAAAUGUAUCAGUUAUGUUUUUAGAUCUGACUAUUUUUCACUUUGGUUGCAAUACUUUGACUUUUGUGUAACAAGCAAAUAUUGCUGCUGCAAAAUACUGUAUUUUGUUUAGCUUCAGUUUGUCAGAUUUAAAUUGACAAUAAAAUCAAGUGAUUUUAAAAUAUACAUAUAUGUUUUUUUAAUUAGAAAAAUAUAUAUUUUUUGUGAGUUUGGUCAAUUAAGUUGCAAGUUCACAUUUAAACUUUUAAAAGCUAGCAAAGUAUGCAGUUUCAUGAACUACUGAAAAAUGACAACUUUUUGUAAUUGUGACUAGUUUAAAUGCUGUUCAAAUGGGUUGUCAUAUGGCAAGAGUUUAUACCUUUUGUAGUAAAGCGUCUGCACUGCAGAUGUAAAAGAAAAUGGAUAACAAUUUUGAAAAUACAGUUCUGCUGUACCUGUUCUAAUUGUUGAGUGUUCUUUCUACCCUUUCACCCAGUCCCGUCUUAAAACACUUCAUGUGAUGUAACUUAAAAACAUGUCUUUGAAUUAAUGUAAUUAAAUCAUGGAAAGAAUUUCCACAUGAUUAAAUAGCUUUCUUUCAGCAUGAAGCAUGUUUGUUGAGCUAACUUAAUUUUCAUGAGUUGGAUCAACUUAAUUAAGUAGUGUGAAGGUACCGCUGUAACAUAUGGUGGUUUCAACUAAAUUUGCAUUAGUCUUAAUCUAGUAAAAUCAAUUAUUUGGUCCAAGACAUUGCAAAUUAGUUGGGCUGGCUCUAUUAAAUUACAUUGGGUCAAACUAUGGUAAAUGAGUUAAAUGAACCUUAAAAAAAUAAGUUGACC